rnacentral:rRNA from 1 species
UGGGGAAUCUUGCACAAUGGGGGAAACCCUGAUGCAGCGACGCCGCGUGAGCGAUGAAGGUUUUCGAAUCGUAAAGCUCUGUCCUAUGGGAAGAUAAUGACGGUACCAUAGGAGGAAGCCCCGGCUAACUACGUGCCAGCAGCCGCGGUAAUACGUAGGGGGCGAGCGUUGUCCGGAAUUACUGGGCGUAAAGGGUUCGCAGGCGGCAUGACAAGUCCGAUGUAAAAGGCGAAAGCUCAACUUUCGUAAGCAUCGGAAACUGUCAAGCUUGAGUGAAGGAGAAGCAAGUGGAAUUCCUAGUGUAGCGGUGGAAUGCGUAGAUAUUAGGAGGAAUACCGGUGGCGAAGGCGACUUGCUGGACUUCAACUGACGCUGAGGAACGAAAGCGUGGGUAGCAAACAGG